UGAGGACUUCACACUGUGAUCACAUAUUAUACUGAAACAUGAUUUAUCCAGCAAACUAUGACAAACAGAAGACUAUGCAGAAAAUAAAUGACUAAAGUAGCUGCUAUUGGAAUAGCCAAGUUCACAAAAAUACCAAAUUAGUAAGAGCAAAAAUGUUACACAGAUCAACAAUUAAAUCAUAGUGAAUAUCCAGAAGACGAGCAAA
rnacentral:misc_RNA from 1 species